rnacentral:lncRNA from 1 species
GAAGAGUGAUAAGCAGGAAACGUUGGACAAUAUAAUAUAGACUUCAAACUCAAUCUCUAACUAAAAAAACAAGAGCUCUUUAAGUUAUAUUACAAUGGAGUUCUGGAUUGAAAUCAUAAUAGGCAUUGUCAUUGCAUUGGUCCUCGUGGUGAUUGUGUUUGGUUUCCUUAAGUUGCUCGGUGUUAAGUUCACCAAGAAAACAACGACAACAACUGAUGCGUGAAGGCAAAACAUCUCAUUUUAGAAAAUUAAAUAAAGUUUCAUGUGAGUUUAAUAUUAGUUUUGCUAUUUAUUUUGGAUAUGUGUUGUUGGGAUUUGUAUCGCAAAUUUUAGAGAUAUAACUAAGAAAUAAAGUAAAUUACCAAACUAUAUAUCAAAAUUUUUUAUUAUAUACUUCCAAAUUUAUAAGUAUAUAUAUAUGUAAAGGUAACCAAUAAGAAGUUUUAAAUAUUAUUUGAUGGAAUUCAAUUGAAAACCUUAAUGUAAAAAUGAAAUUAUAUUUGUAAAAUUAUUUAAGAUGAUAAGUGAAUUGCUAAAAAUUAGCUUAAUUUUAUAGUUAUGUUUUGAUGAAAAUCUGAUUCCUUUUACUUAAAAUUUUAUUAAAUUUAUCUCAAAAGUUUUAUGUGCUUUGUGUUUUAUGGAUAAAAAUCAUGUGUAACCAAUUACUGUUAGACACAAUAUCAAGUUAUCAAUUAAUUGUGAUUCUUUCAACCAUACAAAAAUUCUUUUAAAAACCCAUUGUAGUACUGUAUAUAAAUGAAUGUUGUAAGAAGAUAGAAGCAAGAAACGUUUUGCCAACUACAAACUCCAUUUCUAACCAAAAAAAACGUGACAUCUUUUAGUUUUCUUACAAAUUACAAUGGAACUAUGGAUUAUAGUGGCAUUAGCUAUUGUCAUUGCAGUGUUCCUCGGGGGAUAGUGUGUUCUAUCAUUUUGUAUUGCACCAGAGUCAUUAACAAGGACAUGGAAAAAUAUACUUUUAACUAAUUUUUAAUAAGUAAAAAAACCUGCCACGACCUAAAAGGGGAGAAAAUGGGCGAUUCUGGCGAACUAAAAGGGGGUGAACAAGACGCUACUAUGACUGAUAUCGGGGAGAGGUGCCGGCCUCCAGGGGUCCCACCGGACGUUGGCGAAUCAUGGGUGAAAAAGGUAACAGGGAGUAACGCCGGGGGGAGGUUAACGCCGGAAACUGUGCUAGAUGAUGAGUUUGUUGCGGCGAAGGUGAAUCUGGAAUUCCCGAAUGGUGUAGAUGGGGAACCAGUAAUUACGAUUGGGCAAGAGGUCUUGGAAGCCAUGAAUGGGUUGUGGAAGCAGUGCAUGAUCGUGAAAGUUCUAGGGAGAAACAUCUCGAUUGCAGUGUUGAGUAGAAGAUUGAGAGAGAUGUGGAAACCUCGAGGGGCCAUGUAUGUCAUGGAUCUUCCAAGACAGUUUUUCAUAGUUCGAUUUGAAGCAGAAGAUGAGUAUUUAGCAGCUCUAACAGGGGGCACUUGGAGGGCUUUUGGGAGCUAUCUCAUGGUGAAAGCGUGGUCUCCGGACUUCGAUCCAUUGAAGGAUGAGAUAGCAACGACGCCUGUAUGGAUUCGGUUGGCUAAUAUCCCAGUCAACUUCUAUCAUAAGUCGAUACUAAUGGGAAUUGCCCGUGGGUUGGGUAGGCCAAUCAAGGUGGAUCUUACCACGUUAAAUUUUGAGAGGGCUCGGUUUGCAAGGAUCUGUGUAGAAGUGGAUUUGAGCAAACCUCUAAAGGGAACAGUAUUGAUUAAUGGAGAGAGAUACUUUGUAUCCUAUGAGGGUCUUACUAACAUUUGUUCCGGAUGUGGUUUGUACGGCCAUUUGAUUCAUUCCUGUCCAAAGAAUGUUUCGGGAAAGGAGUUGAGUCCUGAUGCACAGGGGAAUGCAGUGGUUGUUCGGGAACAAGUGCUUUUAAAUGGAAGGGGGUCUCAAGAAACAAUUCCGGCGGAGGAUGGUUUUACGGAGGUGAGAAGAGGGGGUAGACGAUCAGGACCACCGCAAAACAAAGUUGUGUUUGCGGCCGGAAGCUCAGGCGGAGAAUCAGGGAGAAAUCUCCGGGAGAUCACGCGAAAAGAUAUUGGAAAUAUUGAUGUAUCUAACAGAUUUGGAAACUUAGAUAUUUCCGAAAUCAAUGCUGAAGGUGUCACGGAAAAGAAUAUUCAGUCAGGUGAGAAUAAGGAAAAUGAGAUUUCCCAAAUUCAGUUGAGGCAAGGAAAGGGUGUGGCGCAAGUAAGGGAAGGAAAAUCGGGUGUAAAUUCGAAUCAGAGUGUUGGUGGAGUGAAAAUUGGGCCUAAGGAGAAAAAAGCCCAGAAUUCUAAAGGAGGAGAAAAUCAUGGGCUACGACCAAAACAUAAUAAAGUGCCUCGGCCCACCCGUGGGUUAGUAUUUGGCCCAAUAAGAGAAGAUAGGUCGGUAGUGGCUAACGGAAAGAGAUUGCGAGUGGAGACUGAAAGUGUUGGGUGGCAAGUCGCGAUGAAAAAUGGUGGUACGGUGGUGGAAACUGGAUUGCAGGGGAAUAGCAGUGAUCAAGGGGUUGAUAUGACACUGGAUUCCGAGAAUGUAACCAGAGCAAAGGAAGGUCAUAUGCAAGGCGGUUCGUCAGAGGGAGAGACAAUUCCGAUAGCAGCCUGACGGUUAUCCCCGGUAGUUCUUAUGUUAAUUGAUGUGUCAAGAAUGAAUUGUCUACUAUGGAAUUGUCGGGGGGCGAAUAAACCCAACUUUCGACGGUCGAUCCGAUAUAUGCUGAAGAAAUUCAACACGGACAUACUUGCUCUGUUCGAGACUCACGCUGGAGGUGAUCGGACAAUGCGUAUAUGAAGGAUUGGGAUUCGAGAAUACUUUUAGAGUGGAUGCAGUCGGACAAAUGGGUGGGUUGUGGUUGUUAUGGAGAACGGGUAUUGGGACUGUGGAGAUCAAAGAGGCUGUGGACUAGUACAUACACGCUACAGUGAACAACGGUGUUGACUCUUUGCAUUUAAUUGUUGUGUAUGUGGCCCCAACAGUGACAAGACGAAGUGGACUGUGGGAGAAGCUUCACGGAGUGAUACAGGGUAUUGAUGAACCUUUGAUUAUAGGAGGAGACUUCAAUACAAUCGUUAGAGUGGAUGAGAGAAUGGGUGGGAAUGGAAGGCUCUCAGCGGAUUCAUUGGCGUUUGGAGAAUGGAUCAAUGAGGAGAUGUUGAUAGACAUGGGAUUUCGGGGGAAUAAGUUUACAUGGAGGAGAGGGAAAGAAACACGAAACUUUGUGGCAAAGAGGCUAGAUCGUGUGAUGUGUUGUCCACAUGCUAGAUUGAAAUGGCAAGAUGCGACUGUAACGCAUCUUCCUUUCCUUGCCUCAGAUCAUGCACCUCUAUAUGUGCAACUAUGUCCGGAGAUGGAAAGAGACCCAAAGAGAAGGCUUUUUCGGUUUGAAGCAGCUUGGUUAAGUCAUCCGAGCUUUAAAGAACUUUUGUCGUCGUCUUGGAAACAUGAUGUGACGACUCCGGAAGCAUUAAACAUGUUGCGGGUGACCUUGAAAAAAUGGAACAGAGAUGUAUUUGGAGACAUACAUAGAAGGAAAGAGGGUUUAAUGGCUGAGAUCACAGAGAUCCAAGAUGCUUUGGACCAGACUCAAACCGAUGCGUUAUUAACAAAGGAAGCAGCUCUAAUUCAGGAAUUGGACACUGUUCUUGAACAAGAAGAAACUCUUUGGUUUUAGAAAUCGCGGGAGAAGUGGAUGGAAGCCGGCGACCGCAACACAAGUUUUUUCAUACUUCUACGGUUAUUAGAAGAAAGAGAAACCGCAUAGAAGCUCUGAAAAAUGAUGAGGGCUGUUGGUUAACUGACCCGAAGGAGUUGGAACAGUUGACGACCGGAUAUUACAAGCGGCUGUAUUCAAUGGAUGACGUUGAUCCAGUUGUUGAGAAGCCUCCACAACAAGGCUUUCUACCAAUUACGCAGACUGAACACACUCUCUUAAGUAAAUCUUUCUCUGCAGCUGAAGUUGAGGAUGCAUUAAGGAGUAUGGGCAAGUUUAAAGCACCUGGACGAGAUGGAUACUAACCAAUUUUCUAUCAGCAUUGUUGGGAGGUUGUUGGAGAAUCUGUUAUCAAAUUUGUGCUGCAGUUUUUGAGACAGGGGAGCUGCCACCAGGUACAAAUGAUGCGCUUGUAGUACUGAUUGCUAAAGUUGCGAAGCCGGAGAGAAUUACGCAGUUCAGACCUAUUAGCCUUUGUAAUGUCUUAUUUAAGACGAUGACUAAAGCAAUGGUGAUACGGUUAAAGAAUCUGAUGUCGAAACUGAUUGGACCAGCUCAAGCGAGCUUCAUCCCAGGGAGGUUGAGUACGGAUAACAUAGUUAUUGUGCAAGAAGCGGUACAUUCCAUGAAGCGCAAAAAGGGAAGAAAAGGUUGGAUGUUGUUGAAGUUGGAUUUGGAAAAAGCGUAUGAUCGCAUAAGAUGGGAUUUCCUGGAGGAUACUCUUAAAGUUGCAGGUCUAUCGGAGGUUUGGAUUGGAUGGAUUAUGCAAUGUGUAACAUGACCAUCUAUGAAUGUGUUGAUGAAUGGGGAGAAAACAGAAUCUUUUAAGCCAAUGCGAGGGUUACGACAAGGCGAUCCGUUAUCGCCAUAUCUCUUUGUGUUGUGUUUAGAACGCUUAUGCCACCAGAUUGAGUACGCUGUAGCUGAGAAGGAGUGGAAACCGAUUCAUCUAUCUCGCGGAGGACCUCCUCUCUCUCACAUAUGCUUUGCGGAUGAUCUCAUUUUAUUUGCAGAAGCUUCGGUAAAGCAAAUUAAAGUGAUCAGAGGAGUUUUACAAAAAUUUUGUGUUGCCUCGGGACAGAAGGUGAGUCUGGAAAAAUCAAAAAUCUUUUUUUCGGAGAAUGUAUCAAGAGAUUUAGAGAGACUCAUCACUGUGGAGAGUGGAAUUAAAGCAACGAAUAAUCUGGGCAAAUACCUUGGUAUGCCGAUUCUACAAAAGAGAUUGAAUAAAGAGACGUUUGGGGAAGUGUUGGAGAGAGUUAAUUCAAAACUGGCUGGUUAGAAAGGUAAGUGUCUUAGUCUUGCGGGAAGAUUGACACUAACGAAAGUAGUUUUAGCGUCAAUCCCGAUUCACACCAUGAGUGUUAUCUCCAUGCCGCAAGCAUUAUUGAAUGAUCUGGAUAAGGUUUCACGUUCUUUUCUUUGGGGAAGUACGAGAGAGAAGCGGAAACAACACCUCAUUGCCUGGAAGAGAGUUUGUAUGCCAAAAAAGGAAGGCGGGCUGGGAAUUAAAAGGGCCAGAGACAUGAACAAGGCAUUAUUGGCGAAAUUGGGUUGGCAAUUGCUACACGAUCACACAAGUUUAUGGGCGCGGGUUUUAAGGAAGAAAUAUAAGGUUGGAGAUAUGCAUAAUAUGGCUUGGUUGCUGCCCAAAAGCAGUUGGUCGUCUACAUGGCGUAGUGUGGGAAUUGGGAUCCGGGAAGUUGUGUUAUUGGGACAGAGUUGGGUAAUCGGAAAUGGCAGUGAUAUACUGUUUUGGAAGGAUAAAUGGCUGCUAAAUGAGCCCCUAUUAGAGACGGUGACAAUAGAUAUACCAAUGGACCGACUAGAUGAACAUGUUAGUGAUCUUUGGCGGGAUGGCAGAGGAUGGGAAUUUGGAAGAAUCAUGCCUUAUAUCACGGAGAACAUACGGUUAAGAUUGGGGGCUGUGGUGGUUGAUAAUGUCACAGGGGCUAAAAGACCAUUUGUCUUGGAGAGAGAGCUUAAAUGGAAAUUUCACUGUGAGGUCUGCAUAUUCUCUUUUGACACGUGAAGGCAAUCCGAGGCCUAAUAUGGAAAAAUUUUGGAACCGUGUGUGGAGUAUUAUGGUUCCAGAGAGGGUCAAAGUUUUUUUGUGGUUAGUAGGGAACCAAGCAAUUAUGUCAAAUGCGGAGCGGCAUAGACGGCAUCUUUGUGAAUCAUCAAUAUGUCAAGUAUGUAAGAGUGGCGAAGAGACUAUUAUGCAUAUUUUAAGGGACUGUCCGGCUAUGAGUGAAAUAUGGCAGCGUCUUGUACCUAUUGGGAAGGCCCAACGCUUCUUUACACAAUCCUUGUUGGAGUGGUUGUAUGAGAACCUCAACGGGGAAGUGCAAAUGGAACAUUACCCUUGGUCUACCUUGUUUGGGAUGGCAGUUUGGUGGGGAUGGAAAUGGCGGUGUGGGAACAUUUUUGGUGUAAAUGGUAAAUGCAGGGACCGAGUUGCUUUUGUCAGGAAGUUGGCGCGAGAGGUACAUGACGCUAACUUAGCUCUCAAGGAGUCGCGGACAACGAGGGGAAGAAUAGAGAGAAUGGUUAAGUGGGAGCCGCCGAGAGAUGGAUGUAUGAAAAUGAACACCGAUGGGGCGUCACAUGGUAAUCCGGGAAGAGCUACGGCAGGUGGUGUGCUACGGGACGAGACAGGAACUUGGUGUGGCGGUUUUGCUUUGAAUAUCGGUAUAUGCUCGGCUCCGUUGGCGGAAUUGUGGGGAGUAUAUUAUGGACUCUAUAUCGCAUGGGAGAGGCGGGUGACGCAUUUAGAGUUGGAGGUAGACUCCAAGGUGGUAGUUGAGUUUCUUAAGACAGGGGUUCAUGACACGCACCCGCUGUCCUUCCUGGUACGAUUGUGCCAUGGCUUCUUUUCGAAGGACUGGAAUAUCCGGAUUUCUCACACAUAUAGGGAGGCUAAUCGUCUUGCCGACGGAUUAGCGAACUAUGCUUUUUCUUUACAGUUAGGUUUUCAUAUGUUGGACAUUAUUCCGGAUGAAGUCAUUGGCUUUGCUUCGGAUGAUGCUCGUGGAAACGCAGUUCCACGACAAGUUUGUAUUUGAUUUCUUUGUAUUUUAUUAAUAAAUCAGGGGAGACAUUGUUUCCCCGUCAACUACCAAAAAAAAGGACAUGGACGGAGAGUAAUGCGUGAAGGAGACAUACAUAUGGCAGACGAAAUCUCUUUUAUGACAUAUUAAAUAAUUCUUAAUUUGUGACAUUUCUGUGUUUUAGUUUUGCUGUUUAUAAUUUUUUAGUUUAAUCAAUACUCUUUUCUUUUUUGUGACUAAUAGCUUCAUGUACCUCAAGUUGUUGCUUUUGUUGAUAUCGAAGGACCGAUUGUUAUUUACUCCUAUAUUUUUAUCCCUUUUUUUCGAUGAGACGAUGUUGUAGGAUCUACAAUCUUGUAUUUCUAAACCGUUUUCAUUUUCUAAUGAAAUAUUUAAAUUCUUAAAAAAAUUGUACCUCAAGUCUUAAAAAUUUUAGGCUAGAAUGAAUGGUUUGACAAAACUUAUCAAAAGAAAAGCUACCCUACGGAAUUUUAAUUUUUACUCGAGAGAGCAACGAGGGAGACUAAAAUACAAAACAAAGGUCCUUCUUUGGUAUGCCCAAAAAAGAGUCGAGAUUGCCAAAUGAUACGUAGAUCCUAGUUAGGGUCUUAGGGAUAAACAUUUGAACUACGUCGGAUGAAAUGCAAGCUCGUGAGGGUGUGUGGAAAUAGGACUCAACCAAGCAAUAGAUGUGCCUUGUUAAAACUUCAUUGGCUAGGUCAUUUCCCCAAGAGGAAGGAAACUUACAAAAUGAAGGCUUUAAUUAUUUAUUUGUUAUGUUUCACAAAUAUAUUAUAGUUAGGGAUAACAUUUGACUAUGUCAGAUUAUAUGAUAAUUACACUUUACAUUAAUACAUUUAUGAUCUUUUUAUACAAACUCUAUUAAUUGUAAAAUCUUAAAAAUUAUUAUAAGAGAUUUUGUUAUCAUUUUCUUCCAUGUAUACAUUAAAAUUUUAAAUUUCUAAAUAAUUGAGGGAUUAAUUUUUUUCUUCCUAAUAUAAAGCAUAUAUAUAUAUAUGGCAAAGAAGUUUAAAAUAUUAUGUGAGGGAAUUCAAUUGAAAAUAUAUAUGUAAAAUUGAAAUUUUAUUUAAGAAGAGUGAAUUGCUAAAAAUUAGCUAAUUAAUUUUAUAGUUAUGUUUUGAUGAAAAUCUGAUUCCUUUUACUAAAUCUAAGAAAUUAAUUAAAAAGUUUAAUGUGCUUUGUGUUUUAUGGAUAAACAUCAUGAGUACCCAAUUACUGUUAGACACACAAUAUCAAAUUAUCAAUCAAUUGUGAUUCUUUCAACCAUUCAAAAAUUCCUUUAAAAUCCACUAUACUGUAUAUUUAAAUAAAUGUUGUAAGAAGAGAUAGAAGCAAGAAACGUUAUGCCAACUUCAAACUCCAUUUUCUAACCAAAUAAAACGUGACAUCUUUUAGUUGUUUUCAAGUUACAAUGGAACUAUGGAUUAUAGUGACAUUAGCUAUUGUCAUUGCAGUGUUACUCGUGGCGAUUGUGUGUUGUUUCAUUUUUUGUUGCCCCGGAGUGUUUUCCAAAGAAGAAGACGGAGAGUAAUGCGAGGAGACAUAUUUAUGGCAGAAGAAAUCUCUUUUAUGAAAUAUUUUAAAUAAGUUUUAAUUUGUGACAUAUAUAAUUUCUCAGUUGAAUAAAUUGUUUGAGGUUGUUAACUAUGAUAAAAACUAGUUUUCAAAAUUCUACAAUAACUAGUUAUCUAAUAUCUACUAGCAAAAAGAAACGAAGCAUACUAUAUAUAUGGAUCAACUGGUGUAAUGACUUUAGAAUGGUUAAGAACUUUUUUUUUUUUUUUUGAAUGGUUAAGAACUAAAUACCUCCCGAAACUCUGAAGGCUUUGUGGGAACAUCCUCAAUACAAGAAAUACGUGAGAGAUAUUGAGCAGCCUUUAGAUCUAGCCACAUGCACUUGUGGCCUUGUGGCCUUGUGGGAGAUAUACUACAUACUCAUAGCUUCAUGCAUGCACCUCAACCCAUGAAGAUUAAUUAUAGGCAAGAGCCAUUGUUUUGAUAAUACCAUCGAAAGAAAAGCUACCCCUACAUAUGGAAUUUUAUAUUACUCGAAAGAGCAAUGAAUGAUACGAAAUUAUAAAACAAAAGUCCUUCUUUGGUAUGCCCAAAUAGGGUCGAGGUUGCCAAAUGGUACAUAGAUCAUAGUUAAGGAUAAAAAUUAUACUAUGUCGGAUGACAUAAUACACACUAGAUUCUACCCCGCGAUAUACCGCACGUCGAUUUUUAAUAACUAAUAUUUUCAAAAUUUUAAGUUGUAUAUGUUUUGUUAAUAUUGUUUGUUUUGUUUAGUGUUUAAGAUUAUGGGGCCGAUUGGUAAAGACUUUAAAUUAUCGCAGUAGAGACUUUGACUGUAAAAACUUUCGCUAUAGAAACUUUUGCUUUAAAGACUUUGACUGUAUAAAUUUUAUAACUGAUUGGUAAAGAAUGUGACUGUAAAAAUUACAAUUUUAAAUAACUACCAAAUAUAUAGGAAAGUGGAUCUUAAUAGAACAAGAAAAAAAAAAUUAAUUGUAAAUAAACUGAAAUUUUUCAAAAAUUAAUUUAUUUGUGAAUGUUACGAGAGUUUACAUGUAUAUAUGAAAAGAAAAAGAAGAAAAACUAUAAGCUUUCAAUUUAUUUAUUUCUAAAGCCUCAUUUACUGACUUUAAAAAAAAAUUUAAAACAAAGAGUAAAAAAUAAAAAAGAGACUUUCAAGGCUUUACAAUUUUUUAAAGCCAAAAAACCUUGAUUGGGUAAAAUAGACUUUGAAAACUAUUAAAUUAUUUCUAAAGCCUUAAAGGAAGAUUGGAUGUAAUAUUACACAAUCUCCAAUUUAUCUCUUUCUCGCUCGGAAAAGUCUAAUCCAAUCACCCCCUAUAUAAUUGUAUAUUUUGAUUGUUAAUUCUAAAAUUUCACCCCUAAUGCCGUUUGGAUAUUAAUAUCGAUUCAAACUCGUCCCACCAUAUAACCUCUUUCCGUGAAAUUAAACAUCAUUUUGUUAUUUUUCUUUUCAAUAAUAUUUUUAUUUAAAAUAUGUUCUCUUUAAAUAGUUCCCAUAAUAUAUAUUUUUAAUUGCUAUAGAGUUACAAUAUUAUAAAGUUUUAUAGAAUUUAAAUAUAAUAAAAACUUGAAACAUUUUAUAUUUUAAAUAUUUAUAAUGUUUAAACUUCUUAUAAAUUCCUAUAAAGUUCAAAUAUUUAUAAUAUUUGAAACUUCAUUAAAGUUUUAAUAUAUUAUAAAUAUAUAAAACAUUUUAAAAAGUUUAAAUAUUUAUAAUAUUUAACUUUUAAUAAAGUUUAAAUAUUUAUAAUAUUUGAAACUUUUAAAAAUUUCAAUUCUUUAAAAUAAAGAACAAGAGUAAAACGGAUAACACUUUCAAUUUUGGACGCCUGAUAAAUCAAGCUUCUUCUCAUUCGUAUUUUGAAUAAUUUUGGUCCUUUUAUAGUAUGAUUUUGAAUCAUUGUCCUAUCUUUUAAGCAAUGUGCGACAUUGGGCAUGAUUGGUACCAGUUGUACCUUUACAUUUUUUGUUGUAUGGCUAUGACUGUAUGUUUAUUGGUCGUGGCUGUAAAUUUUAUUGUUGUAGUAUUUCGGUUGUAGAAUUUAAAACUUUGGAAAGUUAAAAAUUAUCUUCUUUAGAAGGAAUGCUUUCUACAUCCAAAAAAUUGAAUUAAGAAAAUAUUUUUGCAGUGAGAAAAAAAAGCCAAAGCUUCUAAAGCUUGAUUCGAUCUAUUUUAAAGCAUUAGAAUUUUUUUUUGGGUAAAGUUUCUAAAGCACUUGCUAAUCAAGCCCAUUGUAUGCAUAUUUUUGUCAUCAUCGAUUGAGUAAUUUGUUUUGCUUGGUAAAGUUUCUAAAACACUUGCUAAUCAAGCCUAUUGUAUGCAUAUUUUUGUCAUUAUCGAUUGAGUAAUAUAUGUUUGGUUUUUAAAAUUUGAAUCACAUUAUAUGCAGAAAAAUAUAUAUUUAUUAACUAUAUGUAUUUUAUAUAAAUUCAAAAUAAAUUACGUAUAAGAUCAAAUAAAAGUGAAAGAAUAAUCAAUAUAUUUAUCUUUAAAUUAGGUAGAGAUGUUUUAGAAAAUUAACAAUUAAUCAAAUGUAGUUAAGCUAAGAUAAGAUUUAAGAGAGAAUUAAGGAUAUAAAUUAUUUUGUUAAUAUCUUAAUUUAAUUUUUCAAAUCUAAACAGUUAAUGUCAAUGACAUUCAAUUGUAAUAAAUGCAUAAGCCAAGGUUUUUUUUGUCUAAAUGUCUCCGAAAAUGUAUAUAUAGAUUAGAUUAUUGUAUUUUAUGAAAUUUUAGACAAAUAGAUUAAGUUUAGAGCUAAAGAUAUAUAUUUAAAGAAGUUUUUUUAAUUAUUUCAUUUAUAUAUAUGGUAAAAUUUUCAAUAAUUCAGAUUUUGAAAUUUAGUUUUAAACUUAGAAAACAAUAUAUAUACAGUAUGGAAAUGAAAUCUAUAUUAUUGAAACUAUUUAAGAUAAAUGAAAUAAUUACUAGAAAUUAGCUUUUAUAGCUUUAUGAAUAAAAUUUUGACUAUGUGGGAUGAUUUGGUAAGCAGUAAUUAGAUUAUUGCAUUAAUAGUGAUUUUUUUUAAUAUAAAUAGCUUAACUAAUUAAAAAUUUAAAUAUAUAUUUUUAAAAUACCUUUUAAUCAAUUUCAUUUAUUCAAUUAAAGUUUCAAGAAUUGAGAGACUAUAUAUAAAUUUUAAUUUUUAAAAUUCAUAAAAAAAAAUAUUAAUGGAAAGGAAAUCUGUAUUUGUAAAAUUAUUUAAAUAGAUAUUGGCUUUUAAUAGUAAACUUUUGAAGAAAACCAGAUUCCUUUAAGAAAAUUUUAAUAAAGUAACUCAAAAGUUUGAUGUGCUUUGUGUGUUUAUUGAUUCACAUCAUGCAAACCCAAUUACUUCUAGACACAACUACAAUAAUUUUCCAUUCUUUCAACCAUGCAUGCAGAAGAAGUCCUAUAUAUAAUAAUGAAUGAUAUAAGAAGAGAGAUAAGCAGGAAACGUUGGACAUAGAAUAUAGACUUCAAACUCCAUAGCUAACCAAAAAGCAAGAGCUCUUAUAAGUUAUAUUACGAUGGAACUCUGGAUUGAAAUCAUAAUAGGCAUUGUCAUUGCAUUGGUCCUCGUGGUGAUUGUGUUUAGUUUCCUUAAGUUGCUCGGCGUUAAGUUCUCCAAGAAAACAACGACAACAACUGAUGCAUGAAAGCAAAACAUCUCAUUUCAGCAAAUAAAGUUUCAUGUGUGUUUAUUAGUUUUGCUAGUAUUGUGGAUAUGUAUUGUUGGGAUAUGUAUCGCAAAUUAUAAAGAUAUAACUAAGAAAUGAAUUAAAUUAUCAAACUAUAUAUUAAAACUAGUAUCGCAAAUUAUAUAGAUAUAAGUUAUAACAAAGAAAUAAAGUAAAUUACCAAACUUUAUAUCAAAUAUAUAUAUAAAUAAUGGAAUAUGCAUAUUUGUUUUGCUCAAUAAGAUGAUUAGAGAUUACUUUUGGCUUUCCCAAAAAAAGAUCAUAAAGAUCAUACAUGUAUAUAUGGAAAGGUAAUCAAUGAGAAGUUUAAAAUAUUAUGUGGUGGAAUUGAAUUGAAAACCUAAAUGUAAAACUGAAAUUAUAUUUGUAAAAUUAUGUAAGAGGAUAAGUGAAUUGCUAAAAAUUAGCUUAAUUUUAUAGUUAUGUUUUGAUGAAAAUCUGAUUCCUUUUACUUAAAAUUUAUUAAAUUUAUCUCAAAAGUUUUAUGUGCUUUGUGUUUUAUGGAUAAACAUCAUGCCUACCCAAUUACAGUUAGACACAAUAUUAGGUUAUCAAUAUAUUGUGAUUCUUUCAACCAUACAAAAAUUCCUUUAAAAAUCCAUGGUAGUACUGUAUAUAAAUGAAUGUUGUAAGAAGAGAUACAAGCAAGAAACGUUUUGCCAACUUCAAACUCUAUUUCUAACCAAAACAAAAGUGACAUCUUUUAGUUUCUUUUACAAAUUACAAUGGAACUAUAGAUUAUAGUGCCAUUAGCUAUUGUCAUUGGAGUGUUCCUCGGGGAGAUUGUGUGUUCUAUUAUUUCGUAUUGCACCGGAGUCAUUAACAAGGACAUGGACGGAGACUAAUGCGUGAAGGAGACAUACAUAUGGCAGACGAAAUCUCUUUUAUGAAAUAUUAAAUAAUUUUUAAUUUGUGACAUUUAUGUGUUUUAGUUUGGCUAUUACAGUUACAGUUACAGUUAGACACAAUAUUAGGUUAUCAAUAUAUUGUGAUUCUUUCAACCAUACAAAAAUUCCUUUAAAAUUCUAUUGUAGUACUGUAUAUAAAUGAAUGUUGUAAAAAAUACAAGCAAGAAACAUUUUGUCAUUUUCAAACUCCAUUUCUAACCAAAAAAAACGUGACAUCUUUUAGUCUUUUUUACAAAUUACAAUGGAACUAUGGAUUAUAGUGGCAUUAGCUAUUGUCAUUGCAAUGUUCCUCGGAGGGAUAGUGUGUUCUAUCAUUUUGUAUUGCACCGGAGUCAUUAACAAGGACAUGGACGGAGACUAAUGAGUGAAGGAGACAUACAUAUGGCAGAUCAAAUCUCUUUUAUUAAUUAUUUAAAUAAUUUUUAAUUUGUGACAUUAAUGCGUUUUAGUUUUGUUAUUUAUAUUUUUUUCCAAUUUGUGACUACAUAGCUUCAUGUACCUCAAAUUGUAGUUUUUGUUGGUAUCAAUAGACCGAUUAUUAAUUGCUUUCAUAUUUUUAUCUUUUUUUUUUUUUUUGCGAAGAGACCAAGUUUUAGAAUCUACAGUCUUUUUACCUCUAAAUCGUUUUUAUUUUCUAAUGAAAUAUUUACAUUCUUAGAAGAUUUGCGAAGAGACCAAGUUUUAGAAUCUACAGUCUUGUACCUCUAAAUCGUUUUUAUUUUCUAAUGAAAUAUUUACAUUCUUAGAAGAAGAAAAAAUGUGUAGAUCAAAUCUAGAAAAUUAUAGCCUAGAAUCAAAAUCUAGAAAAUUAUGUGCUUUGUGUUUUAUGGAUAAACAUCAUGCAUACCCAAUUAGUGUUAGACACAAUAUCAGGUUAUCAAUAUAUUGUGAUUCUUUCAACCAUACAAAAAUUCCUUUAAAAAUCGAUUGUAGUACUGUACAUAAAUGAAUGUUGUAAGAAGAGAUACAGGCAAGAAACGUUUUGCCAUUUUCGAACUCAUUUCUAACAAAAAAAAAGGUGACAUCUUUAGUUUUUUUACAAAUUAGAAUGAAACUAUGGAUUAUAGUGGCAUUAGCUAUUGUCAUUGCAGUGUUCCUCCGGGGGGGGGGGGAAUGUGUGUUCAAUAAUUUGGUGUUGCAACAUUCAUUUAUGCGUUUUAGUUUGGCUAUUUAUAAUUUUUCAAUUUAUAAUUUUUGUGACUACAUAGCUUCAUGUACUUCAAGAGUUAGUAGUUUUUGUUAGUAUCAAUGGACCGAUUAUUAUUUACUUCCAUAUUUUUAUCAUUUUUUUGCGAUGAGAUCAAAUUGUAGAAUCUACAGUCCUGUAACUCUAAAUUGUUUUUAUUUUCUAAUGAAAUAUUUACAUUCUUAGAAGAAAAAAAAUGUGUACAUCAAGUCUUGAAUAUUAUAGCCUAGAAUCAAUGUUUUGAUAAUACCCAUCAAAGAAAAGCUACCCUAAAGAAUUUUAAUUUUAUUCGAGAGAGCAACGGGCCGAGGGAGACAAAAUUACAAAAUAAAGGUCCUGCUUUGGUAUGCCCAAAAUAAAGAGUCGAGGUUGCCUAAUGAUACGUAGAUCACAGUUAGGGAUAAACAUUCGACUAAAUGAUAAAUAUUAAACUAAUGCAUUCAUGAAUAUUUUAUGCAAAUUAUAGAUUAAAUUAAAGCUAAACAUAUAUAUUUUUAAGAAGUUUUUUAGUUCUUUCAUUUAUAUAUGGGGUAAAAAAUUUCAUUAAUUGGGAGAUUAAAAUUUAAAAUUAAAAUUUUGAAGAUAUAUAAACAAUAUGGAAAUGAAAUCUGUCUUUUUGAUAAUAUUUAAGAUAAACCAUUUAACUACCAGAAAUUAGCUUUUCAAGAUUUAUGGAUAAAAAUUUGACUAUGUGGGAUGAUAUUAUAAACAUUAGAUUAUUGCAUUAAUAGUGAUUUUUUAUACAUAUAGCUUAAUUAAAAAAUUAAAUCUAUACUUUUAAGAGACCUUUUAUUUAAUUUCAUUUAUAUAUACAAUACAAAUUUCCAAGAUUUGAGAGACUAUAAAUUUUAACUUUUAAAAUUCAAAAAAAAAAAAAUUAUUUAUGGAAAGGAAAUCUGUAUUGGUAAAAUUAUUUAAAUAGAUAUUAGCUUUUAUAGUAAAGUUUUGAAGAAAAUCAGAUUCCUUUAAGACAUUUUUAAUAAAGUAACUCAAAAGUUUAAUGUGCUUUGUGUGCUUAUUGAUACACAUCAUGCAAACCCAAUUACAACUAGACACAAUUGCGAUUCUUUCAACCAUGCAUGCAGAGGAAGAAGUCCUAUAUAUAAUAAUGAAUGAUAUAAGAAGAGAGAUAAGUAGGAAACGUUGGACAUAGAGUAUAGACUUCAAACUCAAUCUCUAACCAAAAACACAAGAGCUCUUCAAGUUAUUUUACAAUGAAACUCUGGAUUACAAUCAUAAUAGGCAUUGCCAUUGCAUUGGUCCUCGGGGUGCUUGUGUUUGGUAUCUUUAAGUUGCUCGGCGUUAAGUACCUUAAGAAAACAACGACAACAACUGAUGCGUGAAGGCAAAACAUCCGAUCAUUUGUUCAACAAAUAAAGUUUCAUGUGUGUUUUUUAGUUUUGCUAUUUAUUAUGGAUAUGUAUUGUUGGGAUAUGUAUCGCAAAUUAUAAAGAUAUAACUAAGAAAUGAAUUAAACUACCAAACUAUAUAUUAAAAACUACUAUCGCAAAUUAUAGAUAUAAGUUAUAACUAAGAAAUAAGUAAAUUACCAAACUAUAUAU